CGGGUGAGUAAUGCCUAGGAAUCUGCCUGGUAGUGGGGGACAACGUCUCGAAAGGGACGCUAAUACCGCAUACGUCCUACGGGAGAAAGCAGGGGACCUUCGGGCCUUGCGCUAUCAGAUGAGCCUAGGUCGGAUUAGCUAGUUGGUGAGGUAAUGGCUCACCAAGGCGACGAUCCGUAACUGGUCUGAGAGGAUGAUCAGUCACACUGGAACUGAGACACGGUCCAGACUCCUACGGGAGGCAGCAGUGGGGAAUAUUGGACAAUGGGCGAAAGCCUGAUCCAGCCAUGCCGCGUGUGUGAAGAAGGUCUUCGGAUUGUAAAGCACUUUAAGUUGGGAGGAAGGGCAGUAACUUAAUACGUUGCUGUUUUGACGUUACCGACAGAAUAAGCACCGGCUAACUCUGUGCCAGCAGCCGCGGUAAUACAGAGGGUGCAAGCGUUAAUCGGAAUUACUGGGCGUAAAGCGCGCGUAGGUGGUUUGUUAAGUUGGAUGUGAAAGCCCCGGGCUCAACCUGGGAACUGCAUUCAAAACUGACAAGCUAGAGUAUGGUAGAGGGUGGUGGAAUUUCCUGUGUAGCGGUGAAAUGCGUAGAUAUAGGAAGGAACACCAGUGGCGAAGGCGACCACCUGGACU
rnacentral:rRNA from 1 species